rnacentral:lncRNA from 1 species
AUCACUACCCACUACCACCACCAACUCCCAGCCAAACCCACUGAUAUACUUCACCCAUCCCCUUCCACUUUUACUCAAUCUCCCACACAAUUUGCCAUAUUUCACUUUCAAAAGGAAACCCAACGAACAUAUUUCACUUUCAAAAAGGAAACCCAACGAACAAGUGCAGAGGUAAGAACUGCAAUCAUAAUUUCAUAAUUUAUUUCUUACAACACAAACUCUCCACCUCAAUGAAUAUACGAUAUGUGAAUCAAUUUCAGUUGCCACACAAAUUCAAACAAACCCAUUCUUGAGUAUCACAUUACUAAAAAUUUCAAACUUACACUAAAACAAAGAAUCAUAUGCAUAUAUAUGUUCACUGACCUUUAUAUAACAAGCAUUUAUAUGAAUAUACAUAUGUAUACUAAGUAGUUUAAUUUUUUAAAAAAAUGAAUGAACUUUAUUACGAAUAUACAUAUAUGAUAUAACCUGUGCAUAUUUAUAUUGAAAGCAUCAAUGUAUUUGAAGAUGAAUAAAAGUCGAGUCUUGAGGCUUUGUUUUUCCUUUGAUUUCGAACUUGCUGUAUCGAGUCUUGGAUAGUGCGUAUAUGUGUCAUGUUGAGAUGUGGGAGUCGAGUCGGUGGAGGGGCCGUGGCAGUGGCAGCCCUGCCGCUGCUGCUCGGUCGAGGGCGAUGGAAGAGAGGUGAGACGGUGGUCGUUGAUGUCGUCUGACAGAGGGCGAGACCGGAGGCGGAGGCGCAGCCUGUAGCUGCGUCGUCGUCGGAGAGAGAUGAGGGAGGCUGGGCUUGGCGGCGGUGGUGCCGCUGCUGCCCAGCCAAGGACGGGCGGAGAGGAGUGUACAGUGAGAGGGUCUGAGCGGACGGUGGAGCAGCAGCUUAUCGCUGCUACUCGCCGGAGUCGGAGAAGAAGAGUGGCUUUUGCUGCUGCUCGUUGACGGAAGAGCAGUCGAGAGAGUGAUUCGACUGAAGGUGGGCGGUGGUGACCGAGGUUUGAGAGAGUUCAGAGGGAGAUGGGAGAUUGCCGGCAGCUGUUGUCGCUGGAGAAGGGGGCGCGGCCGCGGCUUGGCGGCGGCAGGGGGGAGACCGAGGGGUUGGGCGUGAGUCCGAGAGAGAGAGGGAGACGAGCAGUGAAGGGGGAGGGGAUGAGUGACUGAAAUGUGAGUGUUUGUGCGUGUGUUGCGGCUGAUGGGGGGAAGAAGGCUAGGUGUUGGGCUAGGGUGAGGGUUGGGCUUUGGGGUUGGGUUUGAAAUUUCGAAUUGGGCUGAGUAUUUGGGCCGAGAUUUUAUUUAUUUUUGUCUCAGCUGGGCUUUUAAUUAUUAAAUCUAAUGGACCUUUAUUAAUUUAUUUAAUUGGACUGUGCUAGUUUCUUUAUUUAAAAUGGACUACACUAUUUUUAAUUAAUUAGACUAAUUAAGUUUGAUUAAUUAUUUUAAUUUGUCAUAAUAAUAUUAUAUUAUUAUUAUGUGCAUAUUUUAAGUAAAUUACUUAUUAUAUGAUAAACAUGACAUGAAAUUGCAUUAUAUUUUUGCAAUAAGAGUAUUUAAGAUUUAAUUGGUUUUAUUUAUAAUUCCAAUUAUUAAAGAAAGUUGAGUUCAUUGUUUUUCAAAGGUCACGUGUUCGAAACUCCCUUACCCCCACUUUUUCGCAGUUGAAUCGGCGAGCCACACUCUUCUCCUUUGUCCAAAAACAGUGGCAGUGUGGGAUAACAUCUUUGGAUGGCUUGGCGUGUCCACAGCUCGCCCGGCAAGCAUCUCGGAUCAUUUUCUUUCUUUUAUUCACCUGGGAAAAGGUAAGAGAUGGCACCGAUUUUUGAAGGCUUUGUGGUGCUGCUCAAUCUGGGUUUUAUGGAGGAGAAGGAAUGAGGGUCGUUUCGAUGGAAAGGCUUGGGAUAUCAAGAGUACUUGCUUGGAAAUUAAAGCAAGAAUGUGGAGUUGGAACUUUAUUUUUGGUUUUUUUGAAUGGAAGGAUUCUUUUCCAUCUUGGUGCUCUUGCAUUUUGGCACCAUUUCUGUGUAAUUAACGUUGGGCAUUUCUUAUGCCUCCCUUCGGUAUUAAUAUACUUCUUUUCCGAUCAAAAAAAAAAAAUUAAAGAAAGUUGAGUAAGAAUAUUGUUGGUGUUCUUAACUCAAGAUAAAUGUUUUCAAUUAUUUAUUCAUUAAAUUUUGAAAACCCGGCUAAGUGAAUCAUAGAAUGUUAAGCACUACACCAUGACUUAAGAUUAGAUUCAAGGAGACCUAUUAAGAAUAGAAUUUCUUGUAGGCUUCGUGACCAGGGGGAUUAGCGCUGCUUUCCCAAGACAGGUUUAUAUGUGAUUAUGAUCUUCAGGCUUUGCCUAACCAGGUGGGCUUACUUUUCAAAUGUACAAAGUAUGAUUGAGUUAUUAAGCUCUAAAUGUUUUCAAUGAAAUGCAAAUUGUUUAUUUAAUGUAAUGAAAACUGUUUAUCCAAUAAAAUAUUUUGUGCACUCUGCUCUGUUUAAGGCUCGCAUAAGUUAAUCGAUCGAGGUUCUCUUAUGACCUAACACGUUGUUUGAGAAUUGUGUACACCUAUUAGCUGACUCGGUGGGUUGAUCUCCAUUCGGGCACUAAUCAUGUAUGAGGCGUUAUAAGGGUGCUCGACGGGAUGUGUUCCGGAGCAUUGGGUCCCAAAUGGGAACUUGACUGGGUUACGCCCUCAGUUCAAGUAAAGCGGGAGAUAUGGAUCCGUCGGUGGCUAAAAGGUCCGGGAUCACAGCGAGUAACAGAAAGGGAGUGUGACAUGUGCGCACAAAUGAAAAAUGUUUUAACAUGCUUAGAAGUUAUUUCAUUUUAAAACCUUCUAAGUCAUGUCAAGUAUAAUUGGAUAAACUGCUCUUACGAAAAUAUGAAAUGUUUAUGAAAAUGCAUGCCCACUAAGUACAUUAGUACUUAGCCCAAAAAUACUUUCAAAUGUUUUCAGGUUGGCUGGCUGGUGCUGACGGGACGGAGCUGAGGCUAGAGUUAAAAUUCAUAUGUUAGACUUCCGCUGUAGCAAUUACUC